rnacentral:rRNA from 1 species
AGCGAACGCUGGCGGCAGGCCUAACACAUGCAAGUCGAACGAACCUUUCGGGGUUAGUGGCGGACGGGGGAGUAAAACGUGGGAACGUGCCUUUAGGUUCGGCAUAACUCAGGGGAACACGUGCUAAUACCGGAGGUGCCCUUCGGGGGGAAGAUUUAUCGCCUUUGGAGCGGCCCGCGUCUGCUUAGCUAGUUGGGUGAGGAGAUGGCUCACCAAGGCGACGAUCGGUAGCUCGUCUGAGAGGAUGAGCAGCCACAUUGGGACUGAGACACGGCCCAAACUCCUACGGGAAGCAGCAGUGGGGAAUCUUGCGCAAUGGGCGAAAGCCUGACGCAGCCAUGCCGCGUGAAUGAUGAAGGUCUUAGGAUUGUAAAAUUCUUUCACCGGGGACGAUAAUGACGGUACCCGGAGAAGAAGCCCCGGCUAACUUCGUG